rnacentral:lncRNA from 1 species
ACUACAGUCGAUCCUGAAGUCCCAAACCAAGAAAAUGACGAUCGUCGAGUCCUCAUUCUAGGCAGGACUCAAGGCCUAGUCGGCGAUCUCCCUAUAAUGUUCUGAAAAUCAUACUGCUGCUAACAUCGACCGUAAAUUUCAAGAGAUAUAUGAGCAGAUUGAUGUGAUUUGUCACUAAGCAUCGACUUUCGAUGAUGGAUAUAACACUAAUCCACCAUUCAGUAACCAGAU